GCCAGAAGAGCUGGUGUAAUGUACUGGGCCCUCUGCUGUAGUUCUCAGGCACUUGGCCAUAUGUGGGGUGUGGGACCCAGGACAUGGUCAAGGGGGACUGAGAAGGCUGCAUCUCCCAAGGGCCAUCCCCAGCUCUUGAUUCAACUAGUCCCCAGGCUUGGAUGAACAUAUGGCCAUGUGUCCCACAGCAUCCGAGAGCCUCCCAGUCAGUGUGGUUGUGGUCUUGGUGAUCCUGGUGGCUGCCGUGGUCAUCGGGGCAGGCAUCGUCAUCUACCGAAAGGCCCCAAAACAAAUCCAGAGGAGGAGUGUGGCACCCAAGCCUACCUCAGGGCUCUCCAACCCCCU
rnacentral:lncRNA from 1 species